UACGGAGGGUGCAAGCGUUAUCCGGAUUCACUGGGUUUAAAGGGUGCGUAGGUGGGCUAGUAAGUCCGUGGUGAAAUCUCUGAGCUUAACUCGGAAACUGCCGUGGAUACUAUUAGUCUUGAAUCUCGUGGAGGUAAGCGGAAUAUGUCAUGUAGCGGUGAAAUGCGUAGAUAUCAAGAGGAACACCUGAGGUGAAGACGGGUUGCUGGGCUGACACUGACGCUGAGGCGCGAAAGCCAGGGGAGCAAACGGG
rnacentral:rRNA from 1 species